rfam:Brassica napus, WGS project CCCW01000000 data, contig: 30507
UUAAGCAAUGCGGCCUUGCUGUAAAUAUGGACAGAGAUUGAUUACUUUUUAGGUGGGCACUCUUUAAGUUCUUUGAUGCUCAUAAAGGACCCUACGUACAUGU